CAAACACUUCAUUUUCCUGGUGGCCCCCACACGGGUAUCACUCACUGGCAAACAGAAAUCAUCACCACGCAAGCAAAGGCUGAGUUUUUCUGGGCUACCCAACUGUAUCCGUUACCCUUGUCUGAAUAAGCAGCUCUGGGCCAAUGUCCCAUCCGUGCUCUGAAAGUACCAGAAAGGCAGCGGCACUGAACCGAUGUGAGCAGCACAGGCAUUUGGCAUGCUCCCCAGAGCUCUCUGAGCAAACAAGGCAAAGGGAAAAGCGCCCGUCCCUCCCUCUCUCCACCUGCCCAGUGACUCAGAACAACUAGAAAUGGCAGCUUUACUCUUGCUGCUGCCAAAUGCAGACCUAUACACCCAGCAGAGCGAGGGCAGCAGGAAUGCCAAGGAACUGAAAUACCUAAAUGGCUACAACGGGCAGAAGAGACGUUUAAGUCAGAGAGGAGCUAGAGGAACCAGUACGAGCUUCAGAGGAAUAACUGAAAUCCCAGAAGCUGCUGUAUACAGAGAGUGACUACCCUAACUGCAGCACACACUGUGCUCUAUGAAGACCUUAAGGACCAUGAGGUACAGCCCUAAUUUAACCCUCUGGGGUACACACGCAGUUAUCCCUCUGCGUAAAGGCACCCAUUUCCAGAUCUCUGCUGAGCAAACAGACCGCUUUUAGCCUGCACUGGUAUUUGACAAACAAGCAGCCCCUGGUUUUCAGCAUGCAUACAGCUAAUAGCCUAUCACACAAUAGUUGGUUUCCAGUUACAGCAGGGAAGGCUUUAACUUAUUCACAAGAACAGGACAGCGAGUCAAAUAGCUUAGUAGGUUUUAGAAAGGGAUUGGAUGUUUGCAUGGUGAAACAACAUCCACAGCCGUUUUAGCUAGGAUAAGGGUUACAAGCUCAGCGAUCUUCAUGCUACAGGACAAAAUGAUCAGCGACUGGGAUCACACAUGCACAAAAGCAAUAGCCAUUCCCUGAAGCUCCUUGCAGCAAGGUCACAUGGCCAUAAGCAGACACUGUCGGAAACCUGAUAACCCAUUGUACAGUUCUAGCUGGGCUAAUCCUCUGUGUCCCCAGAAAGCUCCAAAGAGGCCAGGCACAGAAUGAACCAGAGAGAAAUCCUUCUGUUACACAAAACAUAAAAAACCAGAGAAGCUUUAUUGGUAUGCAUCCUACAGGAGUGGUUACAGAAAGGGCCUUGGAUUAAUCUGUCAAAGAAAACAUGGAACAGCUGUGCUCUCCCUAGGAAAGCACCAGCCACGAAUGGUGAUAGCUUUUUCA